GUGAUUUCGACUUAGAUACUUGAAGAUCUCAGUUAUACAAAAAGAGAGAGAGAGAGAGAGAUGGACAGGUAUACCAUAUGGGAAGGCUACAUGGACUGGAGAAAUAGGCCAGCCAUUAAAGGAUGCCAUGGUGGAGUGGUUGCUGCCUCCUUUGUUUUAGUGGUUGAAGUCUUGGAGAACCUAGCAUACCUGGCAAAUGCAAGCAAUUUAGUCAUCUAUCUAUCGAAGUUCAUGCAUUUCUCUCCAUCUGCUUCAGCCAAUAUAGUAACAAACUUUAUGGGGACCGCUUUCCUUCUCGCUGUUAGUUUUUCCAACAAUUAUGGUGAUGUAUGGGAGAGGUAAGCAAUGAUGCAACUCUCCUUAGUGAGAUAAGCAAUGAUGCAAUGGGUGAUAGGUGAGAUGGGAAUAUUGCAAAUUGAUCCUUCUUGGUAGGUGAGAUUUGCACUUUUGGUCCCUAUCUCAAAACUAUAAAUACCCCCUUCCAUUUCAUUGUAUAACACACCAAAAAAAAAUAUAUCAAAAGUCAAGAAGAAAGAGUUUGAGAGGGAGAGAGAUAUAGUUCCUUUAGGAAUGUUUCCUAACAGGGGAGUGACAAAAUAGUGAGUAGAAAUACUAGUCGGGUAUUUUUCGGGAAACACUUUUGUGUGCGCCACUAUUUUGGGUAGAGCUCAGGAAUUGUUGUACCUCCAAAUUAUUGGGGAAGUCUCUCUUUGUAUGCCUGCUAAAUGUUUUAGUGGAAGUUGGUGUCGGAUUUGUGGACGUAGCCUAAACGUUUUAGGUGAACCACGUUAAAUAUUGUGUCAUUUA